AUUCAGCUGACGAGUCCCAAAUAGGAUGAAACACGCGUCAAACUGGAU
rnacentral:hammerhead_ribozyme from 1 species